rnacentral:rRNA from 1 species
UGCGUAGGCGGGCUAAUAAGUCAGUGGUGAAAUCUUUCGGCUCAACCGAGAAACUGCCAUUGAUACUGUUAGUCUUGAGUUCGGUUGAGGUAGGCGGAAUGUGUAAUGUAGCGGUGAAAUGCUUAGAUAUUACACAGAACACCAAUUGCGUAGGCAGCUUACUAGACCGACACUGACGCUGAGGCACGAAAGCGUGGGGAGUGAACAGGAUUAGAUACCCUGGUAGUC